GACGAACGCUGGCGGCGUGCCUAAUACAUGCAAGUCGAACGCAGUGGGGACGGGUGAGUAACCCGUGGGUAACCUCCCAUCAGAGGGGAUAACACUUGGAAACAGGUGCUAACCCGCUCCGGAUGGAUGGACCCGCGGUGCAUUAGCUAGUGGGGGAGGUAACGGCUCACCAAGGCCACGAUGCAUAGGCGACCUGAGAGGGGGAUCGGCAACACGGGGACUGAGACACGGCCCAGACGCCUACGGGAGGAAGCAGUAGGGAAUAUUCGGCAAUGGACGAAAGUCUGACCGAGCAAUGCCGCGUGAGUGAAGAAGGUUUUCGGAUCGUAAAACUCUGUUGUUAGAGAAGCGGUAUCUAACCAGAAAGCCACGGCUAACUACGUGCCAGCAGCCGCGGUAAUAC
rnacentral:rRNA from 1 species